rnacentral:rRNA from 1 species
GAAAGGCUUCGGCCGGACAGGGAUGGGCAUGCGGCGCAUUAGGCAGUAGGCGGGGUAACGGCCCACCUAACCGACGAUGCGUAGGGGUUCUGAGAGGAAGGUCCCCCACACUGGUACUGAGACACGGACCAGACUCCUACGGGAGGCAGCAGUGAGGAAUAUUGGUCAAUGGUCGGGAGACUGAACCAGCCAAGCCGCGUGAGGGAUGAAGGUACAGAGUAUCGUAAACCUCUUUUGUCAGGGAACAAAGGCGGGGACGUGUCCCCGGAUGAGUGUACCUGAAGAAAAAGCAUCGGCUAACUCCGUGCCAGCAGCCGCGGUAAUACGGAGGAUGCGAGCGUUAUCCGGAUUUAUUGGGUUUAAAGGGUGCGCAGGCGGUCUGUUAAGUCAGCGGUCAAAGCCCGGGGCUCAACCCCGGCCCGCCGUUGAAACUGGCAGUCUCGAGUUGGAGAGAAGUAUGCGGAAUGCGCGGUGUAGCGGUGAAAUGCAUAGAUAUCGCGCAGAACUCCGAUUGCGAAGGCAGCAUGCCGGCUCCACACUGACGCUGAGGCACGAAAGCGUGGGUAUCGAACAGGAUUAGAUACCCUGGUAGUCCACGCAGUAAACGAUGAAUGCUGGCUGUCCGGGGGGAUUGACCCCUGG